rnacentral:misc_RNA from 1 species
GAAGGUUAUGCCGAAACCGUCCUAGCGGCGGCCGGCAGCCCUCCCAUCAUUCACCUUGUGCACGUAUCGAAAUCUUGCUUGGCAGCACUCUUCGGGCUUUUUUGGGUCUGGAGGGUCUGCCAGAGAGAAGUUUCUAAUCAUGCCAUGACUUUGCCUGAUCUUUAUACAAAUAACAAAUGAAA